rnacentral:rRNA from 1 species
GACAGAGGCCCCAAGCGUUAGGCGGAAUCACUGGGCUUAAAGCGUGUGUAGGCGGAUCGUUAAGUGUCUUGUGAAAUCCCACGGCUCACCCGUGGAACGGCUGGGCAUACUGGCGAUCUUGGGCCAACUAGGGGCAGUCGGAACAAGCGGUGGAGCGGUGAAAUGCGUAGAUAUCGGGAGGAACGCCGGUGGCGAAAGCGGGCUGCUGGACCCCUUCUGACGCUGAGGCGCGAAAGCCAGGGGAGCGAACGGG